CAAUUGCGUAUAUUAAAGUUGUUGCAGUUAAAAAGCUCGUAGUUGGAUUUCUGGUGGGAGCGAUCGGUCUGGCGCUUAGCGCGAGUACUUGCAUCGUCUCCGGCCAUCCUUGGGGAGAGUCUGUCUGGCAUUAGGUUGUCGGGCAGAGGAUCCUCAUCGUUUACUGUGAAAAAAUUAGAGUGUUCAAAGCAGGCUUAUGCCGUUGAAUAUAUUAGCAUGGAAUAAUAAGAUAGGACUUUGGUACUAUUUUGUUGGUUUGCGCACCAAAGUAAUGAUUAAUAGGGACAGUUGGGGGUAUUCGUAUUCCGUUGUCAGAGGUGAAAUUCUUGGAUUUACGGAAGACGAACUACUGCGAAAGCAUUUACCAAGGAUGUUUUCAUUAA
rnacentral:rRNA from 1 species